UUGUUUUAUUAAAAAUAUUUUGUUUAUGUAUGAUGAAAAUUUUGACAAUUAACUCUUUUUAUAAAAUAAAAUGAGUCAAUUGUCACGAUAUUAAUAGACAACAACUCACUAGGUUACCUCCCUACACUUAUCAAGACGUAAUGUAAAAUUUAUUAACAGAAUACCAUGAGAUUCCAAAAAUUACGUCAGUGACGAAGGGAGCGCUGUUACUGCGUAGUGGACUCACGGAAUAACUAUUAUUUUAUAAAAAGAGUUUCUCUCAAAGUGAUUCUCUCAGCAAAUGGGCUACGGAUUCAAAGUAAACAGGAUGGAUAGGUGUUUUAAAUUUUCAAAAUGUUACUAAAGGUAACCAAGCCAUCAGUGGUAGUUGUCAAGAAUGAGGAA